ACCCCCGCGCGCGCGCCGAAUGUAAACAGUAACGAACGGCAUUGUAGAAAAGAGAGAGCCGUAAUGCAGAAGAGAAGUUGUGUAUUCUUUCGGUGUACACAUGCAUUUUCAAUUUGCUGUGAAACAUAUGAACAUGCACAGGGAACAAUACUACAUAUUUGUUUAAGGAGGAUAUUUUUCUCGUGUGAAUCGUUUACGAGGAAAUUCUGACAGCCACACUUCUGUCGACGAUCAGCCGUUGAUAAGCUACGAGUAAUAAAGGAGAAAAGAUGGACAUUAAAGUGUGUGAUUUAUGUGGAUGUUACUGAAGAAGCUCAAAACAGACUCUUGUUACCACAUGGCUUUUACCGGUACCUGUUGAUUCUUGUGGGUCAGCUCCGGAGAUUAACCUGUCACCUCUAUCCACAUGCAUAUUCCUUGUGUUCUACAGACUAUUUACCGGUAAUUCAAAUUAAAUCCAAUAAUGCAUGAACAGUAAUGGAACUUGAAGAAAGCAUCAUGCCAUGUUGUGGUUUGUGUUUGAUAAGAAAUUAUGAAAACAAAAUUAAGGCUGUUUAAAGAAAUUCAUAAUUGCUGUGAAAAUUUGUUUUUCAAUAAAAGUAUACAAUUAUG